CGGCAAUGGGCAGAUCUGCCCUACUUUCUUCUUCCCUUCCCUUCUCUGCUGGCUGUGAGAACCACCGUUACCUGCAAAGGGGGAAAAAACACAAUGCAAAGCUUCCGAUUCUCUCCUUUUUUAGAUCUACUCUCUUCUGUCUUCUCUUUCGGGUUUUCUGUUCUUCUCUUUUUCAGGUGGCAGGUCUGCCGGCUUCUUCUCCCCUUCCCCUCUACAUCAGCGGUGGCUGGUGAGGAUGGAGACUGUGGCUGCUGUGGUCGGGUCUGUUCGUUGACCCGGAGAGGGAGGCCGAUGGGUCGGCUGAGAGAGGAGAGGAGUCUGGUGAGGGGAGGAGAUGGCCGUGUCUAUUGGCGUGCGGCUGGAGAUGGGCUGCUGCUGGCCGGUCUUCACUCCUCUUGGCAGGUCCGGCGGGUGUCGAUGCUGGUGCUGUUGCUGAGGGAAGGAAAUGCUGGAGGCGACUGUUCACGGUGGCUGUGAAGGGGGGAGUUGUGGUCAGGUCUGUAUGGGUCUAAGAGGGCAAAGGGAGCUGCUGAGAGGGAGGAUCUGUCGCUGGCUUUGUGUUGAUGAGAGGGAGAGGGGACAGUGUUUUGGGGGCUGCUGGAGGCGAUGGGGCAGGUUGAGGGAGAAGAGAAAAAAAAAUCCAAAACAGGGGGGUCGGCCAGACGGCGACUUGGAGAAGAGAUAGAUUUAGGGUUCUCUUUUUGUGUUGUCUCUCCCCCCAAAUAUCAAAAUUGCCCCCCUCAAAAUAUAUGUGUAGCAUGGUAUUUAUAGGAAAGGUUUUGCUAGGUUUUCAAAUUAGUCCCUCAACUUUUCCUUUCCUUCUCUUUUCCUCUUUUUUGUAAAUUUUGAUUUUUCUUAUUUUUUUGUAUUUUUGAAAGCGAGCAAAUAUCAACAUCGACUCAAUAUGGAAAAUCAAUGAUUUUAAAAAUGAUGCGUUAAAAGUUUAACGCGUUCCAAAUAUCUUUGAAAAUUUAAAUUCUUUUGAGAUGACGUUGAAAAUGCUAAAAACGAUGCAAAUAUAUCAAAAAAUGCAUUUUUUUGGGUUUUCAUUGUUUUUUUUUGCUAUUUUUGGUUUUUUUCUGAAAAAUUAUCAAAACAUGGGUCAAAAAUUGGGUAGCAACAGAUGCCCCCUCUUUACAAUGCUUACGAAGCAAAACUCCUCAAUGUUUUGCAUAGUAAGCUUUGUAAAGAAAAGAAAAAGAAAAUGAUCUCAUUAUCUUGGGCGACCUGCCCCUUUUGAAGAAAAGUGGUCUAUUUUCAGGGGCGACCUGCCCACACAUACUCAAAGUGGUCUAUUUUCAGGGGCGACCUGCCCACACACUCACACUGGUCUAUUUUCACAGGUGACCUGCCCACACAUACUAACUUUGGUCUAUUUUCAGGGGCGACCUGCCCACACACUCACACUGGUCUAUUUUCACGGGCGACCUGCCCACACAUACUCACUUUGGUCUAUUUUCAAGGGUGACCUGCCCUUUUGAUUGGGUUUACCUGAGAUCCCAUCUGGCGAUCUAACAAGAACAAAAAUUGGUGUGUAGCUUGGUCAACCUGAAAUUCCAUCUAGCGAUUCCCUUUAACCAAAGCUAAAUUCUGCGUGGUUAGGCUAAACUGAGAUCCCUUUGCCGAUCCCCUUUAACCAGAACCAAAACUCUUGUGUGCGGUUAGGAUAAACUGAGAUUCCUUUCGCCAAUCCCCUCUAACCAGAACCGAAAUCUGUGUGGUUGGGCUGAACUGAGACCCCUUCGCCGAUCCCCUUCAACCAGAAGCAAAACUCCUGUGUGCGGUUAGGAUAGUCUGAGAUUCCUUUCGCCAAUCCCCUCUAACCAGAACCAAAACUCUUGUGUGGUUAGGAUAGACUGAGAUUCCUUUCGCCAAUCCCCUCUAACCAGAACCAAAAAAUCAUGUGUGGUUAGGAUAAACUAAGACUCCUUCGCCGAUCCCCUUUAACCAGAACCAAAACUCUUGUGUGCGGUUAGGAUAGACUGAGAUUCCUUUCGCCAAUCCCCUCUAACCAGAACCGAAAUCUGUGUGGUUGGGCUGAACUGAGACCCCUUCGCCGAUCCCCUUCAACCAGAAGCAAAACUCCUGUGUGCGGUUAGGAUAGACUGAGAUUCCUUUCGCCAAUCCCCUCUAACCAGAACCAAAACUCUUGUGUGGUUAGGAUAGACUGAGAUUCCUUUCGCCAAUCCCCUCUAACCAGAACUAAAAAAUCAUGUGUGGUUAGGAUAAACUGAGACCCCUUCGCCGAUCCCCUUUAACCAGAACCAUAAUCCUGUAUGGUUAGGAUAGACUGAGAUUCCUUUUGCCAAUCCCCUCUAACCAGAACCAAAAUCUGUGUGGUUGGGCUGAACUGAGACCCCUUCGCCGAUCCCCUUCAACCAGAACCAAAACUCUUUGUAGUUAGGCUAAACUGAGAUCCCUUCGCCGAUCCCCUUUAACCAGAACCAAAGUCUGUGUGUGGUUAAGCUAAACUGAAAUCCCUUCACCGAUCCCCUUUAACUAGAAUCAAAAUCUUCUGUGGUUAGGAUAGACUGAGAUUCCUUUCGCCAAUCCCCUCUAACCAGAACCAAAAAUCCUUUGUGCGGUUAGGAUAGACUGAGAUUCCUUUCGCCAAUCCCCUCUAACCAGAACCGAAACUCCUUUAUGGUUAGGAUAGACUGAGAUUCCUUUCGCCAAUCCCCUCUAACCAGAACCAAAAUCCUUUGCAGUUAGGCUAAACUGAGAUCCCUUCGCCGAUCCCCUUUAACCAGAACCAAAGUCUAUGUGUGGUUAAGCUAAACUGAGAUCCCUUCGUCGAUCCCCUUUAACUAGAACCAAAAUCUGUGUGGUUAAGCUGAACUGAGAUCCCUUCGCCGAUCCCCUUCAACUAGAACCAAAAUCCUUUGCAAUUAGGUUAAACUGAGAUCCCUUCGCCGAUCCCCUUUAACCAUAACCAAAGUCUAUGUGUGGUUAAGCUAAACUGAGAUCCCUUCGCCGAUCCCCUUUAACUAGAACCAAAAUCUAUGUGGUUAAGCUGAACUGAGAUCCCUUCGCCGAUCCCCUUCAACUAGAACCAAAAUCCUUUGCAAUUAGGUUAAACUGAGAUCCCUUCGCCGAUCCCCUUUAACCAUAACCAAAGUCUAUGUGUGGUUAAGCUAAACUGAGAUCCCUUCGCCGAUCCCCUUUAACUAGAAUCAAAAUCUGUGUGGUUAAGCUGAACUGAGAUCCCUUCGCCGAUCCCCUUCAACUAGAACCAAAAUCCUUUGCAAUUAGGUUAAACUGAGAUCCCUUCGCCGAUCCCCUUUAACCAUAACCAAAGUCUAUGUGUGGUUAAGCUAAACUGAGAUCCCUUCGCCGAUCCCCUUUAACUGGAACCAAAAUCUGUGUGGUUAAGCUGAACUGAGAUCCCUUCGCCGAUCCCCUUCAACUAGAACCAAAAUCCUUUGCAACUAGGUUAAACUGAGAUCCCUUCGCCGAUCCCCUUUAACCAGAACCAAAGUCUCUUCGUGGCUAGGCUAAACUGAGAUCCCUUCACCGAUCCCCUUUAACCAGAGCCAAAAUCUUUGUGGUUGAGCUGAACUGAGAUCCCUUCGCCGAUCCCCUUCAACCAGAGCCAAAAUCUUUGCGGUUUGGGCUGAACUGAGAUCCCUUCGCCGAUCCCCUUCAACCAGAACCAAAAUCCUUUGCAGUUAGGCUAAACUGAAAUCCCUUCGCCGAUCCCCUUUAACCAGAACCAAAGUCUAUGUGUGUAGCUCGGUCAACCUGAAAUCCCAUCUGGCGAUUCCCUUUAACCAAAGCUACGUGAGAUCCCAUCUGGCGACCUCCUUUAACCAAAACCAAAAACAUGUAAAAAGUGGUCUCAUUGUAAUGGGUGACCUACCUAGAUGAAAGAAUGUUAAAAAUGGUCUCAUUAUGAUGGGUGACCUACCCAAAUGAAAGACGGAAAAAAUUUGAAGUGGUCUCAUUGUUAUGGGUGACCUACCCGAUAAAGAAAAAAUGUGAAGUGGUCUCAUUGUUAUGGAUGACCUACCCAAAGAAAGAUGGUCUCAUUAUGAUGGGUGACCUACCCAGGAAAGAUGGUCUCAUUAUGAUGGGUGACCUACCCAGGUGAAAGAAAUGAUGGUCUCAUUGUGAUGGGUGACCUACCCAAAGAAAGAUGAUCUCAUUAUGAUGGGUGACCUACCCAGAUGGAAGAUAGAAAAAAUAUGAAGUGGUCUCAUUGUUAUGGGUGACCUACCCAAAUGGAAAGAAUGUGAAGUGCGGUCUCAUUAUAAUGGGUGACCUACCUAGAAAAAAAUGAUGGUCUUAUUAUGAUGGGUGACCUACCCAGAAAAAUGAUGAAAGGUGGUCUCAUUGUUACGGGUGACCUACCCAAAGAUAGAAUGUGACUUACCUGGCAAAAAGACUUGGCCGGCGAAGUCCUAACAGGAUAAGGCUGACAAACGGCGCUUCCUGAUUGCAGGUUGACUUGAAGACUCCUCUUGAUGACAGGGUUAAUUUCCUCAUUUCUUUGAGAUUUUCCUACUGGCAGGGUUCAUCUCAUUCUUUUCUCGUUCCAGAAUCUAAACCGAUUCUGUCAUCAUCAACUCAAAUUCUUUCUUUGUCCACAAUCUUGCUGGACUUCAUUGAGGAUCUUUCUGUAACAAAUCACAAAUAUGUGCAAUGCUUUAAGGUUAGAUGACAUGCAUGCAUCCUUACCUGGUUUGAAAUAUAGGUCCCCCCCUCUUUGAUGCUCCAUCGUCAUAAGGUGCCUUUGUUUGCAUUCCAAAGCCUUCUUUGUUCUUCUGAUGCAUUGGCUCAUUCAUGUGAUAGCCAUCACUCAGAUGUAAGUGCAGUGCCCAUCCUAGGCUGUCCACGACGAUUACUGCUCUCGCUGUUUAUCAAGCUUGACUCUGCCCCCAAGUGUGGUGUUGCUUGAUUCAUCAUGAAGGAUUUUCUCUCCUGGAUUCUUCUGAGAAUUAUCCUCUGAUUGGUUGUGUGCAUCAUGUCAACACCCAUCAAGAUGGUUAAUCAGUUAUGGACUUGCCUCCAGUUGAAACAAUACUUUUCAAGUAUAUGUUACCAUCAACCUUCUUGGAAACUGCCAAGUUGUCCAGACAUGCCUCUCAUAACUUGCCGUAAAAGGCUCUUUGCUACAUUCCCGAUGCUCUUCUCAAUGGAUUCCUUUUGGCUUGUCAAAUCAGCUUAUAAAAAGAAAUGAUUUGGCAUCAUCAAUGAUGUUCAUCACCCAUAUUCAUGCGGUGAAGUGCAUCUUUAGGUUUCAAAACAAAUGGCCCCACAGUCAGCCUUAGUGGGUGCAUCCUUCCAACAUUCAUUCAAAUGCGACUAUGUGAUAACAUCGUUCAAAAGUCAUAGCCAUGUUGGGGAUGAUAAACCAAGAUGAAGAUAUGAAAAUAUCUUUCAAGUGCAGCGUUGACCAUCAAUUGCUGCUGGGAUUGUCUUUGACUAACAUUGCCCCCAAUAUGAUCUGAGUUUGCUUGUUCAUCUGAUUAUCUUUCUUUGAACACCAUUGCCCUCAGCUCACUGAUUCAUCAUUUAAUCGUCUUCCAUUGCCCCUAGCUGAUUUGAAUACUGUUUGUUUUCCUUCUCAAGGUCCACUGCAUUGCCCUAGGUGGUCAACUUGUCAAGGAGUCUUGAGAAGUGUUGAUGUCAUUUCUGUCAAGGAUUUUGCAAAUUCAAUUGAUAUUCUUCUUGUUUGACAAUCUUUCUAUUCUGGAAUCAACUCUCAUACUUCAAAGAUCAUGUCUAUCCAAAGUCUAGUUUGUUGAAAUGAAAUCAGAGAUGUUCUUUUUUGAAAGUAUUUUUUUAAAAAAAAUUCAAGCUUCUUUGGUCAAAGACCCAACACACGCUAUUCAAAAUAUGCAAUCCUUUGAUUGUCUUGUAUUUUGAAAACAGAAAUUGACCCGUUGUAAGAUUAAAAUGACUUUUUUCAUGGUUUUUUGUGUCAGUUUUAAUCUUUGAUCUUGGGUAUACCUUUCAAUGGUCUACGAUGAGGUGACCUUUUGUGAAUUUCAAAAAACACACAAGGCUCAAGUCAAAACUUGAGGAUUCAUCAAGAAAGAUUGUUUUCUUUUUUAGCACCAAUUUUAUCAGCAUGCAUAAUGACCAGUAGCUUAAUUCAUGAAGCCACGACUCUUAUGGAAAAGCUCUUCAAGUUUCGAGAGCGCCAUUUAUCGGUUCAAAUUGCUCACUUGAUCAAAAAGGGCUUUUAAAAGCACGUAAUAUAGGCUAUGGUUCAUGGCUUAUGAAAGAAGGGAAAUUCACAGGCUCAAAAGGUGUUUGAGGGUUUCAACGACCUAGGAUCAACAUCAACUAUUCAUCAACUCUCUUUCUUGUUGUCAUUGUAGAGAAAGUGACAUAUAACCUUGUUAAUUUCAGAGAUCAGAAUUCUCUUAACAUAGGUCAUAUUGCUAAUCCAAAUUUUCUUUGAUGAAUAACCGAUCUAAUCUUUUUGAAGACAUCAGAGGCUUUAUCCUAGACACACCAAAAGAUAUGAAACUUGAUUUUUUUUUUUAACUUUUGGCAUUUGUUGUGUCUUUCUUCAAUUGAAACCUCUUUUGCCCAUCUUAGAAUUGAUAGGCAUUCUCCUUCCAUUCCACUUUUUUUUUGCUUUUACAUAGCCUUCCUCAAAGUUUUCUUGGAUGGCCCUCAAUCUAUGGCUUUUCUUCUUUUAGCCCUCUCUCAAUCAUUGGACUUUUGUUCUAAGCCUUCCCCUUUAUCCAUUAAUCCAAUCAGUGUCUUCAAAAUAUCUCUCAUUUGCCCCCAGUGUAGGGUGUGAUCCUCAUUAGGGUUUCUUUUUGAAAGAAAAUAUUUUACCAGGCUCAAAAUGGGACUGCAAGGGAUAAUAUUUCAAGAAAUGUGAAAGAAUAACAAAGAUGGCCUUUUCUCAUUUCAAGCAAGGUCGGUUAAAACCGAUAAAUUUUGACCUCAUCCAGUGUAAUGAUUGGGACUUGUAAGAGUCAAUGAUUCACGAGUCCAUAACUACUGAAUCCACUACAUGUUAUUAUGCAUACUGUUAAAAUUUAGCUAUAUGAUGUGUGGUUCAAUUUCAGGAGGUAUGAGUUCAAAAUUGUUUGGUCACCUCAUGUCAUUUUCAAGCAUCGAGUCAUUUCUGCAAUCAAAAUACUUUUAAUCUUCAUGAUUAAACUUUGCAUGUUGGAGUUUGAUCAAAAAUAUUUUAUCAAAGUACCCUUUGAAAGAAGCAUCUCUUGAUUUCAAAACAACAACAAGACAAAGAAAAGACAUGUUUCGUUGAAGGAUGAGAUGUGAUCCCAAAACAAAAUGCAGAAUGACAAAAAUCCAUAACAAAAUGAUUGACAAUUCAGCACCAUUCUUGGAUCAGCUACUCUGGCCAUAUCUGUGUUUUGCCGAGCAAUUUCGAUCACUUGUCAUUCUGAGGGUGUUCUGGUGAAAAAAAUGAUCGAUGACAUCAUCUUUCACAAACUAAGCUCGAUUCUUGAAUCUCUUGCAUCUGUUCAACCGAAAUGGCCGAGGACCCCACCAUGACAACACAUCUCUUGUCUGGAUUGAACCACCUAGAAAACGGUGGUUACAUGAGUUUUGUCGGAGUCAGGCAAAAUUCUAGAAUCUGGCCAAUGCUGGUCGACAAACUUAAGUGGCAGAGGGAUGUCAAUCUUGGCAAAGACAUUGGAGUAGUCGAUGAUACAACGAGACUUGGCUAGACCACAUAAUUAAGGUUUCUCACCGUCAAACUCUUCUUUUGAUUCAUCUCUCAUCAUUGUUCUAGAAUUCAUGGCAGAACCUUCAAUCUUUCACUUCUUCAUUGCUCGUUCAAUUCCUUCGACAAUCUUCACAACAUCAUGUCAAUCUUCCCAUGUUGUUGUGGUCGUUUGUUGAUUGUUGGAAACCUUCCAACAACUAGGUAAUCUUGGCAGUGCAUAGAAUCAUGCAGCGCUAUCAUUGUCAAUGUGUGAAAUGACGCAUUGUUUUUAUUGGAGGAGAAACUGAUGAAUCUGGAAUUCCUCUAUUUCCUCUUUGAUUCCUCACUGACGGUGCAGCAAACAGACACAUGUAAAGGAAGUUCUGCUCUGUUGAAGUUUUAGUCUUCUUCCUGUUUUUUCAGUCCAAGUCUGUCUCUUCUCCCUACUUUUGUGUUUUCAAGCUAACACUGAUGGGAGAAAAUUGUAGAUGAUCUGAAACUACUGCAUCCCUUCUUGGAUUCUCCACUUGCAGAGCCACAAACAAAUUUCUGCAGAGAGAGCUCUGCCAUGGUGAAGUUCUAUAUUUGCUCUUGUUUUCUAGCUCAGGUCUGGCUUUUCUGCCUACUACAGGUUUUCGAUGUUGAAACUGGUGGGGUAAAUUUUCAUAUCGUCUGAAACUACUACAUCCCCUCUUCCAUUCCCCACUUGCAGAGCCAUAAACGGGUUUUUGUAGAGAGAGCUCUGCCACUUCAAAGUUCGACGACUGCUCAUGUUUUCAGACUAGGUCUGACUCUUCAGCCUACUCCAGUGUUUCAGUGCUGAAACUGGUGAGACAAAUUUUUGUAGCGUAUGAAAGUACUGCAUCCCCUCUUGCAUUCCCCUCUGUAGAGAGAGCUCUGCCACGUUAAAGUUCAAUGUCUGCUUCCGUUUUUUUCAGGUCAACAUCCGAUGCAAGAACCAAGGCUGUCAUUAGCUGAUGACUGGAGGCAUUGCUGCUGUUGUUCAUGACUGAAAAAGAUAGGUGCAGCUUCAAUGGGGCGUGGACAAGCAGUGUCCCCAUAAAAUACCGUGUAGACAUUCCCUCUCCAUUUGAAGCUCAACACUUGUUUGAGCAAACCUGAGUCUAGCUACUCCAUCCUUGAUGCUCUCAACUUCCUUUUAACAAUGAGCCUCUCUCUGACCCCUUUCUUCAUUUCUGUUUUUUCAGUCCAGUGUAGUAAACCUCGGAUGGGGGAACCUAUUUUUCCUCCCGGUACAUGCAUGAUAAAUGUAUGAACAUGUAAUCUAUAUGAGGAACUCGCCCUUCGAGGGGUGACAUAUGAUCGUAACUCUUGCAUGAUGAAACAAGAAUCUUGAUUCUUGCCCAAACUCUACAAUGAAAAUUUUCUAAGCGACGGUCAUUGGAUCACCCACAAGUCUUGAGUUCAAGAUGCUUCAAGAAGGGCUUGCUGAUGCAAAACAAUGUAUACGGCGCUUACAUCCUAAAGUCAGGUUCUAAUCCUUUUAAGUGAGAUAAAAUGGAGGUUUACUACUUGGUCUCUAAAAAGGGUCUCUUGUUGUCCCAGUGAUCGCCCUCGUGGAGGCAAUAUGGGGGCUUGUAGGCAAUGAGAUGGCACGUGUCCAACUAUUACCAAUCUAAGCACUCAACGAAGAGUUGAGGUUUACACAAACUUAAACCUUGACUAAAAGUCAUAAGGUAAGCUGCUAGUCCCCCACCUAACCUAAAGCUUGUGUGUGCUUACAAAAAUUACAAUAUGUGAUGCAUGAAACAAUUCUAAAAAUGCAUGGAUAAAACAAAAAUAAAACAAGAUAAAAAUGCAAAAACUUAAACACAUCAAAUACACAAAGCUUAGUCCAAUAGUGUUGAAAACAAUACCUUCCCCAGUGGAGUCGCCAUUCUGUCGCACGUCAUAAAAUCCGCGCGGCAUCGGCUGGCGAUUUUUUUCUUUCUUCUCGUUUUGCUUUGAUUGGUUCGUUGGAGUCGCCACCUAGUAAUUUAUUAAGGGCUACUAGGAAACCUGAUGUACUGGUCUUGUCAGAGAUUCACGGGUAAGGGACUGGUUGUGGUUAGGGAAGGUAUUAGCACCCCUAACGCACCCUACCUGAGGUAAGCUGCUUUGUGGACUUGAUGUGUUUUAAAAAAUAAAAUUUUAGCCCAAUUCCAAGGCUUUGAUAAAUCAGUUAUUAGUUCCCAAAAUAUAUGUAGAUACAUGUUCUACAUUUUUAUGGAAAAUACAACAUGAUUUUUAUCUGUCCUUUAGAUAUUUGUGCAUAUAAAUUAAAAUAUUAAAUUCAUUUUUUUUUAUUCAAUAACAUACCUAAAAAAAAAUACAAACACACACAGAACUCUUUUUCUAUUAUUAUUUGUUUUUUGCUCUUUUCUUUUCUUUUUUUUUAUUUUACAUCCACAUUUACACCAAGUACAAAUUAUAUAAAAAAAACUCAAAAUUACACAAAUAUUACAUUACACAAUUUGAAAAUUACAAAAUAAUCCAAAAAAUCAGGAAAACAACUCUGGGAUGCGUUCUGGGUCUGCUGAACAGUAGCGGCGCGUCUCCCCACGCGCCUCCGCCACGGGCGGCGCGUGAAUCCACGCGCCGCUGCUGACAAUGACCGGCAAUGGGCAGAUCUGCCCUACUUUCUUCUUCCCUUCCCUUCUCUGCUGGCUGUGAGAACCACCGUUACCUGCAAAGGGGGAAAAAACACAAUGCAAAGCUUCCGAUUCUCUCCUUUUUUAGAUCUACUCUCUUCUGUCUUCUCUUUCGGGUUUUCUGUUCUUCUCUUCUUCAGGUGGCAGGUCUGCCGGCUUCUUCUCCCCUUCCCCUCUGCAUCAGCGGUGGCUGGUGAGGAUGGAGACUGUGGCUGCUGUGGUCGGGUCUGUUCGUUGACCCGGAGAGGGAGGCCAAUGGGUCGGCUGAGAGAGGAGAGGAGUCUGGUGAGGGGAGGAGAUGGUCGUGUCUGUUGGCGUGCGGCUGGAGAUGGGCUGCUGCUGGCCGGUCUUCACUCCUCUUGGCAGGUCCGGCGGGUGUCGAUGCUGGUGCUGUUGCUGAGGGAAGGAAAUGCUGGAGGCGACUGUUCACGGUGGCUGUGAAGGGGGGAGUUGUGGUCGGGUCUGUAUGGGUCUAGGAGGGCAAAGGGAGCUGCUGAGAGGGAGGAUCUGUCGCUGGCUUUGUGUUGAUGAGAGGGAGAGGGGACAGUGUUUUGGGGGCUGCUGGAGGCGAUGGGGCAGGUUGAGGGAGAAGAGAAAAAAAAAUCCAAAACAGGGGGGUCGGCCAGACGGCGGCUUGGAGAAGAGAUAGAUUUAGG
rnacentral:lncRNA from 1 species